GGGUAUAGCUCACAGGUAGAGCGUGUGGUUGGCAUGCACAAGGUCCUGGGUUCAAUCCCCAGUACCUCCA
rnacentral:tRNA from 1 species